GAACUUUUGUAGAAGCUGCUGUAGUUUUGCUGAACAAGGAUGGUGUCUUAGGGAGAACCCUAAAGUUGUCUCCUGAGACUUGGAUGGAGUUUCUAUUGAAGGAUCUCUGCUGUAGGACGAGCAUUUUACACAGCCCUGUUCCUGGGUCGCUGCCUGCAAGAUGAAGUCUCUCUGCAGCUUUGAAGCAACUUGGUUUGGCUGGGAAUGCUGCUGCACAAGACCUACCAACUAUUUCAAAGUGUGGGGCCAGAAGACGUGGAUGCAGGUCAAGAACAAGGAUCCAACAGAUUUACAACUGAGCAUCCCAUAUGGAACAUCUGAUUCUGGUUCCAGUGAUUUUCCUUGGUGAGAAGACCCUGCUAAGCAGACCUGGAGGAGUUCCCAGGCUCCCACGCUGCAUGGUUUGAGGGCAUCCCAUCAAACAGGCUCUUUCAGAGCUGAGGGCUUCGGAUUUUCUGUGCUCAGAGACAGACUGUUUCAGAGCUAGGUGCCUAUUCCCUCGCAGGAGAAUUUUAGAGGAAACAGAAUUUCACAUGCUGAAGCCCUCAGCAGAACAGAACUGCUUUUUUCUGCUCUGGACUAGAUGGUUGUUACUGCAGGCACCAUUAUAGUAUGCUGUGUUAUUAAAUUAUGGAAAAUAAUUAAUUAGAAAAACAAGGAAAAAAUGCUACACAGUUAGCAGGCACAUCUUUUUUUAGCUUGGAUAGUGUCUGGUAUUGCUUUCCACCAGGACACUGGGAUGCUUUUUUUCCCUAAUGAACUUUUUAUGUCUGAGAUGAAAUACAGAUUCUGUGGACAAUUUAUUAAGAAAAACACCAGUUUCAUGUGAGCAAUUUUCGGACCAACAGGGAAUUUAUAUGUGGAAAUCAUAUACGGGUAUAGGGAAACACCUCAUAAAAAGAAUGACUACAUGGUCAGCAGCUGUAAUUUAUGUGCAUUCUUUUUUAAUAAAAAAAUAUGUUUUCA
rnacentral:lncRNA from 1 species